GUAGGGUGCGAGCGUUAAUCGGAAUUACUGGGCGUAAAGCGUGCGCAGGCGGUUUGGUAAGACAGGCGUGAAAUCCCCGGGCUUAACCUGGGAACUGCGCUUGUGACUGCCAGGCUAGAGUACGGCAGAGGGGGGUGGAAUUCCACGUGUAGCAGUGAAAUGCGUAGAGAUGUGGAGGAACACCAAUGGCGAAGGCAGCCCCCUGGGUCGAUACUGACGCUCAUGCACGAAAGCGUGGGUAGCAAAC
rnacentral:rRNA from 1 species